GUUCUUCUGAGGAAAACCAGCUGAAGUAUUACAGAAAGAGGAAAUGCUGCAGAGACCCAGCCGGAAACAGUGCUGGCCAGCUCACGCCUGACCCACCCUUAUUCUAAGCAUAGGGUCUGCCUCUGAAGAGCUAAAGACUUCCUGAAAUUUAAAAAUUAGUGCUUUUAUUUGCUUGUCCUGCUAAGACCGUAGGCAAAGGCCAUCCUCCUCCCAUUGACAGUUUAGAGUGGAAACAACCACGGUUACCCUAGAAGUAAAUCCAGAGCUGCGGGACGCUGGAGGACAAAACCAACCUUCCAGGGAAGCCGAGGAGAAGUCAUGCCUUCAAAAGGUGUCUGCCUUUUUUUUUUUCACCCUCUCUCCUCUAACCUGUUUGUAACUGGGAAAUGAAAUAGUUUUGGUUUGCAAGCUGUCGCCAGGGAGUGGAGCAAGACUUUGUAAUAAACAAGAGCAACUGCCAGAGCCCCCAGCGAGCCUCUCCAAGGCCAGACUGCCAAGAAAAGCUGGCAGUGUGACAGCAAGUUUCAUUCAGCGUGGCCGGUGGUCACUGAGGAGCGACCAUGAGGAGGAUGGCCAGAGGGGGUACCCCCCAGUCUCACCUUGGGGAAGAGUACAGCCUCCUAUUAGUGAGCUGUGUGGGCUAUUAAAAUUCCCCCAGGCUGAGUGUUUCAGGAAACACCAUAAAUAAAUAAAAUUGUCUGUGUGUGUGUGUGUGUGUGUGUGUGUGUGUGCAAUUCUCUAGAGAAAAGAUCUAGAGCUUUCACCAAAUUCCCAAGAGCCCACGACCCUUACAGCAGAAGCCAAACUCAGAAUUAGCACACACUUAGGUCUUCUGCAAAAGAACACCAAGCUCACCACUUUUAUUUCUGGAAACUGAGCCUAGGCGGUCAGCCCACUCUCCUCUUACAAAACCCCUAGGCACUUAAGAGACCACAGGGGAAAAAAAAGAACUCAACCCCUUUUCUAAUCUAAACCUAAUCCUUCUUAAACCUUGCCUGACCCGGGUUACCAGGAAUCCUGCCAGUGCCAAAUGAUACGAUGUUUAUUCAGCUCAUGUCUUAGCCCGCUGCUCCUGAGCCACAGAAAUCAAAGGGGAACAUUCAGCCACCACCUGCUGAUCAACGUGUAAACAAAGGGGUAGUCAAGACUGAGGAGGACCAGCUUUUGAGGACAAUCACUGCGUGUUGCUCCAGCUCACAUAAAGGCACGGCUCCUAAGGAACAGGCUUGAGACAUGCACAAGUGCUGUGCCAAGUAGUUCAGGAGCCUGGUACAGCUGUUCCCAAUAUGCCUUUACCUCCUGUUGCCUCUUCUAACCACAAUAGGGUGUGGAUGACAUAGUGCCCUUGCUCCCAGAAGAAACUGGGAAAGUUACAACUCAUUAACCAGUUAGGUUAGUGUUGGAACAGUGCUUGCCACAUUAUUCUGAGAAGCCUCAGAUCCGUGAGGGUGAUGUGGAGCUCAGAACACAUGGCCUGACCCCAUGUGGGGUUUUACUGGAGCAGUUGUUUUGAUCUGUCUUACAUCUGGGGGAUCUGCAAGAGAUUUCGAGGGAUGAGGGCCAGUUCCCUUGCUAAAACUUAGAAUGUUUAAAAAAAAAAAAAACUCCCUUGUACUAUUGAGCUUGGUACAUCUUUCCUUGAAAGGAGCUAAAGUGAAAUAACUUAUAGAUCCUGACAUGCAAUGAGCUGGGUUUUUUUCCAAUUUUCUUUGCUUCUUGUCUCUGAACAUAUGCCUCCUUAUAAUUCUUCCUAUAUGUGUUUGAUAGCAUUGUUCUCUGAGUAAUAGUAACCAUGAGAAGAAUAUCUAACAUUUAUUCCAUGCCUAUUGUGUGCCAUGCCACAUGCUGGGCACUUUAUGUGCCCUUAUCCUACCGGACCCCGCUGCAGCCCUGUGAGUGGAUGGUCCCUCUCUUCAGCUCUCAGGUGACACAAAAACAACAACAACAACAUCCGCAACAGCAACUUCUUCAGUUCAUUUAGUUGAUGAAGAAACUGACAUCUGGAGAAGUUGAAGUAAUUUGCACAAAGAUUCACUUGGCUAACGGAGUUUUGCUCUGUCACCCAGGCUGGAGUGCAAUGGCCCGAUCUCGCCUCACUGCAACCUCCACCUCCCGAGUUCAAGAGAUUCUCCUGCCUCAGCCUCCCAGGGGCUGGGAAGUUCAAGAUCCAGGCCUCAGAAGAUUUGGGGUUUGGUGAGGGCCAUCUUCUCACUGUAGCCUUACAUGGUGGAAGAGGUAAGGCAGCUCUCUGGAACCUCUUUUAUAAGGGCACUAAUCCCUUUCAUGAGAACUCAGCCCUUAUGAACUCAUCGCCUCCUAAAUUCUCUACCUCCUAACACCAUCACUUUGACAAUCAGAUUUCAACAUAUGAAUUUGUGGGAGUCACCAGCAUUGAGACUAUAGCAACCCCUUAUUAGAAAUAAUUCAUGAGGAACUGAAACUGUUAGGAAACCACUGUGUAAAUGCUGGGAAACAAAGUCAGAUAAAUAAUGCUGAUAAUUACCUGACUGCUUUUGGAACUGUCCUUUUUUGUGAACAUGAGACUACAUCAUUGUCAGUUGAUUGCAGAAGAACCACUAUGAUAUUAUAAUGGGGUCCUGACUCCAUGACUGUGUAAUUCAUGGCUUUCUAACGGUUUAUUAUUGACCUAACUUUGCAGCUCCCCUAGAUCCCCUAACUCCACCAUCUUGGGUUGCAACCAAUGACCUGUUAUUGCAAAACAGGUAAUCUCACUUAGAUAAGUAUUAAUCAGAGGGGCUUGACUUCCAGAGUUCAUUUCAAUGGUUUUCAACUCAUUUGUAGAGUUUAACAUCAGUAGCCCUUUCUCUUCCAUAGGAGGGAGAUGAACCAUCCUGUUUGUUCAAUAAUCAGUGAGAGCGUGGCUUUAACGUCUCUUCCACUCCUUUCUAGUUCAGGUCUUUCUUAACUUGAUGGAGAUAGCUUGGGCCAGGGAGGGCAGAGUGAAGAUGAGAUGGCAAAAAAAAAAAAGUUUUGAUCAGCAGCAUUGACUCUGUGCUAAAUACUGUGCUCAGCUCUUUGGAUGUUAUUUCAUUGAAAUGGAAAGAACACUGUAAAGUUGUCUUGUGAGGCACACUUUCCUGUUGAGGAAAUAAAAGCAUUAAAUAACUUGCCCCCAAAUACAAAGCUAUUAGGAUUGAAACAAAGACUUGAGCCCGGGAUCUAUCUAAUUUCAAGGUCCUUGUUUUUUUUCUACUACAUUUCUCUUUGAGAUACAGUUACUCAAAGGUGUCCAAACUUCAGUUAAUGUCAACCUCUGCCUCACUCUGGUCCUGGUGCCUUUCCCAUGUUCCUGAGAAGAUCAUGUGGCACACUUCUCUAAACGUCUCUGUGCCAUAUCUCUUGGGAUCAAAAGGCCAUUCCAAUAAUUCUUCUGCAUUUCUUAAUGUAUGCUCAGAUGGCCCUGGUUUGCAUUUAGAGAAAGGAAGCUAAGACCUUGGUGAUAACUAAAUAUUUAUAUCUAUUUUUUGAUUAUGUGCUUGUAUUUAAUUAAGUGGGUGCCUACUGUUGUGAAAAUACUUUUGAAUACAAUUCUGAAGUUGUGCCAGGGAACUCUGACAAUGGGUAUGCUGGGAGCUGUCUGAUUUCCUUGUCCUAGACAACUCAUACAAUGCAGUAGAAAAAGAAUUCUUUAUUCCCACUGCCUUUCCUUAGCCCUUCUUCAGAGCAGGGGAAGUGUGACUGUAGCUUUAAAUAGUUUAAAUAGUCCUUCAAAUACGGCAAAUAAAACAGUAUCAAUGAAAAAGAAGAUAAAAUGAGUGGAUUACUCAUAUGAGUUUCAGUUUUAUCAUUCAGUUUCACAGAACUCCAAAGAAUAAUGUGAUUAAGUGGUUUCUUUUUGCAAGGAUUUUCCAGGUGAAAGAUCUGAGCUAUAUAUUGAGGAACCAUAGGAUUAAAAUAGACAUGGGUUUGCUUCUAUGACAGCAUUUUGCAAAAUAACAUGACCAGGUACUAUUGCUCAUGCCUGUCACCCCAGCACCGUGGUCAAGGCAAGUAGAUCACUUGAGGCCAGGAAUUCAAGACCAGCCUGGCUAACAUGGCAAAACCUCAUCUCUAUUAAAAAUACAAAACUUAGCCAGAUCUGGUGGCACAUGCCUGUAAUCCCAGCUACUCAGGAGGCUGAGGCAUGAGAAUCACUUGAGCCUGGCAGGCAGAGGUUGCAGUGAGCCGAGAUUGUGCCACUGUGCUCCAGCCUGGGUGAUAGAGUGAGACCCUGUCUCAAAACAAACAAACAAAGCAAACAAAAACACACACACAAAAAAACCCACCUCUGAUGUGACCCAUGGAUAGAAAACAACAAAUUAAGUUUUAAUGAGACUAUAUAUGCUUGUACUUUAAAAUGGGGCUAAUUCAUAGAUAUAGAAAACUAUACUUAUGACAGUUCAUAUAAAUGAGCCACUGGACUGUCCAAAUUUACCUCUUUUUAUUGUAUGGAC
rnacentral:lncRNA from 10 species